rnacentral:rRNA from 1 species
UAAAGCGUGCGCAGCGGUUAUGUAAGACAGAUGUGAAAUCCCCGGGCUCAACCUGGGAACUGCAUUAGUGACUGCAUAGCUGGAGUACGGCAGAGGGGGAUGGAAUUCCGCGUGUAGCAGUGAAAUGCGUAGAUAUGCGGAGGAACACCGAUGGCGAAGGCAAUCCCCUGGGCCUGUACUGACGCUCAUGCACGAAAGCGUGGGGAGCAAACAGGAUUAGAUACCCUGGU